GCGUCGUUCGCGCAAUAGGCAGCGCGUCAGUCUCAUAAUCAAAUCUAGAAAUCUGAAGGUCGUGAGUUCGAUCCUCAGACGGGGCA
rnacentral:tRNA from 1 species